rnacentral:rRNA from 1 species
ACUCCUACGGGAGGCAGCAGUGGGGAAUUUUGGACAAUGGGCGAAAGCCUGAUCCAGCAAUGCCGCGUGAGUGAAGAAGGCCUCGGUUGUAAAGACUCUUUUGUUCAGGGAAGAAACGGUAGAGAGCUAAUAUCUCUUGCUAAUGACGGUACCUGAAGAAUAAGCACCGGCUAACUACGUGCCAGCAGCCGCGGUAAUACGUAGGGUGCAAGCGUUAAUCGGAAUUACUGGGCGUAAAGCGUGCGCAGGCGGUUUUGUAAGUCUGAUGUGAAAUCCCCGGGGCUCAACCUGGGAAUUGCAUUGGAGACUGCAAGGCUAGAAUCUGGCAGAGGGGGUAGAAUUCCACGUGUAGCAGUGAAAUGCGUAGAUAUGUGGAGGAACACCGAUGGCGAAGGCAGCCCCCUGGGUCAAGAUUGACGCUCAUGCACGAAAGCGUGGGGAGCAAACAGGAUUAGAUACCCUGGUAGCGACUGA